GGCUUGGUGGCAUAGUGGUUAGCAUAUUUACCUUGCACUUCCAGGUGGGGGUUCGAUUCCCACCUCUGCCC